AUUGAACGCUGGCGGCAUGCUUUACACAUGCAAGUCGAACGGUAACAGGCCUUCGGGUGCUGACGAGUGGCGAGCGGGUGAGUAAUGCAUCGGAACGUGCCCAGAGGUGGGGGAUAACGCAGCGAAAGCUGUGCUAAUACCGCAUGUGAUCUGAGGAUGAAAGCGGGGGACCAAGCAGCAAUGUUUGGCCUCGCGCCUCUGGAGCGGCCGAUGUCAGAUUAGGUAGUUGGUGGGGUAAAGGCCUACCAAGCCGACGAUCUGUAGCUGGUCUGAGAGGACGACCAGCCACACUGGGACUGAGACACGGCCCAGACUCCUACGGGAGGCAGCAGUGGGGAAUUUUGGACAAUGGGCGCAAGCCUGAUCCAGCAAUGCCGCGUGCGGGAAGAAGGCCUUCGGGUUGUAAACCGUUUUUGUACGGAACGAAAAGGCUCUGGCUAAUACCUGGGGCUGAUGACGGUACCGUAAGAAUAAGCACCGGCUAACUACGUG
rnacentral:rRNA from 1 species